CCUACGGGAGGCAGCAGUGGGGAAUAUUGCACAAUGGGGGAAACCCUGAUGCAGCGACGCCGCGUGAGUGAAGAAGUAUCUCGGUACGUAAAGCUCUAUCAGCAGGGAAGAAAAUGACGGUACCUGACUAAGAAGCCCCGGCUAACUACGUGACAGCAGCCGCGGUAAUACGUAGGGGGAAAGCGUUAUCCGGAUUUACGGGGUGUAAAGGGAGCGUAGACGGGAGCACAAGUCUGGGGUGAAAUCCCGGGGCUUAACCCCGGAACUGCUUUGGAAACUGUGCGGCUGGAGUGCAGGAGGGGUAAGCGGAAUUCCUGGUGUAGCGGUGAAAUGCGUAGAUAUUAGGAGGAACACCGGUGGCGAAGGCGGCUUACUGGACUGUAACUGACGUUGAGGCUCGAAAGCGUGGGGAGCAAACAGGAUUAGAUACCCCAGUAGUC
rnacentral:rRNA from 1 species